rnacentral:rRNA from 1 species
AGCGCAGGUGGUUUAUUAAGUCUGGUGUAAAAGGCAGUGGCUCAACCAUUGUAUGCAUUGGAAACUGGUAGACUUGAGUGCAGGAGAGGAGAGUGGAAUUCCAUGUGUAGCGGUGAAAUGCGUAGAUAUAUGGAGGAACACCGGUGGCGAAAGCGGCUCUCUGGCCUGUAACCGACACUGAGGCUCGAAAGCGUGGGGAGCAAACA